rnacentral:rRNA from 1 species
AUUGAACGCUGGCGGAAUGCUUUACACAUGCAAGUCGGGCGGCAGCGCGGGGGCAACCCUGGCGGCGAGCGGCGAACGGGUGAGUAACACAUCGGAACGUACCCUGUCGUGGGGGAUAACGAAUCGAAAGAUUCGCUAAUACCGCAUACGACCUGAGGGUGAAAGCGGGGGAUCGCAAGACCUCGCGCGAGAGGAGCGGCCGAUGGCGGAUUAGCUAGUUGGUGGGGUAAAGGCCCACCAAGGCGACGAUCCGUAGCGGGUCUGAGAGGACGGCCCGCCACACUGGGACUGAGACACGGCCCAGACUCCUACGGGAGGCAGCAGUGGGGAAUAUUGGACAAUGGGCGAAAGCCUGAUCCAGCAAUACCGCGUGAGUGAUGAAGGCCUUAGGGUUGUAAAGCUCUUUUAGUAGGGAAGAUAAUGACGGUACCUA